AAUCCUCACUCAGAAUGAUGUUUUCUAUCAGGAUGCUUCUGAAUAGGUGUUAUGUGAAGUAACUUCAUAUUUGUUCAUUGUUUUCUAGGGAAUUCCACAAAAGAGAAUCCAGUUAUCAUGGCUGAGAGCACUUUGCUGGAGCCCAGUAGGACUUUGAGAGGAAUACAACAUCUAAUUACAAAUGCAUUCCACACAAAACCUGCCCAACAAAGCCUUCCUGAUCCACAACAGUCCUAUUCACUGGAAUAAAUUUUUCCCUGUUGCUGAUGGUGAUCAGCAAUCUCCCAUUGAGAUUAAAACCAAAGAAGUGAAAUACAACUCUUCCCUCCAACCUCUUAGUAUCAAGUAUGACCCCAGCUCAGCUGGAAUCAUCAGGAACAGUGGCCAUUCCUUCAGUGUUGACUUUGAUGACACGAGAACA